GUCACACGUUAACUUACCCCGGAGGGACGCUAUAUCCUACAAAAGUCAGACUCAAGCUUAUGGGAAUUCAAAAGAGUUGAAAGGAGGAAGAAGAAUCUCAAGACUUGCUACGAUUUGAAACUCAAGAUCUUGAUGACCAAGUCUUGCAUGCCCAUAUACAAAAUGGAUACAUAUAUUUACAAAUGUCAAAGCAUGGUGUUGCUCCAUUCAGAGUGAGAUGGAAAGGUAUGGGAUUCUACUAACCUUUGUUAAUCUAUUUGUUGAA